ACCCACCCCCCUAUAUAGCUUAAU
rnacentral:siRNA from 1 species